AUAAGGCAAUAGGCAACACGUUGCCUUCGCUUGCAAGCAAAGACGCUAGCUCAAUCUUAGCGGUUGGUCGGUUUCGCACUCAACCUCAGUGAACCCUUGACGACCUUACUAGCAAAGUUGCAAGCUCUCGAUCGAGCUCCGAGCAAAGCCCAGUUCUCACACCAGAUCACAUGGAUAACCGGAGAGAAGAAGGCCCCGCCGAUGCCCGCGGCCUCGUCCGCGCGGGCGUCGUCCUCCUGACCGUGACCUGCGCCGCGGCCGCCUACAGGUCGGCGGCGGCAGGGGACGUCGGCUCCGUAGCUUUCGUGAUCGUCACCUACGGCGCGCUCCUCCUGCUGCUCCGCUUCCUCCGCGCCUACGAGCUGGUGAUGGCGGCGCCGGAGGCUGCCGCCGAUGAUAGAGUGCGGCUCAUCAGGCGCAAGGGUAUUUGGUUUGGGCAUCGAUGGAGGAAGGGUGUGAAUUAAGCCCCAAUAAUGCAUACACGGGAUGCCAUGGUACCUGUUUGUUUUCUUUAAAAAAAAUUGUUAAUUACCAUGGACAUAAUUAUGUGAUUGGCUGAUGGUACGGUGAAGGACAUGGACUUUGAUUGAUUUUAAUGUAAAUACGGUGGUUCGAACAACCGGGGGUACGUGUGCAAAAUGGCGUGAUAAUGUAGUGUUUUCGAUGCAACAAUCAAUAUAAGCUACUCUUGAUUUGUGGUUCUGUAAUGUUGCUUGUGUCAAUUCAAUUCAUGUAAUUGUUGGAAAGUAAAACAUCGUAACUAGGGUAUUUCCCUACGGUCU